ACCAAGACUGACUGACCCUGACUGAUUGUCAGUUGCAACAUGACUUUGACUUUGGCAGCACUGAGGAGUGCUUCGGGUCAUAAUUGUCAUGAUCAUAAUCGAUCAUAAUCCGUUGUGGGAAGUUGUGGAAGAUUUUGGAAGUUCAGCAGUAGUAAGAAGAAAAAGCGUAAGGCGCACCUAUAACUGUCAUGUGGGGGCUGGUUCAUGCAGAAGCAGUGGAGGUGUUACUGAAGCUGAGUGAAGGAUCCACAUCAGCACCAAUGUGACAGGCUGAAGGGUGCCAGUAGGGAGCAAUGCUGGCAGCAGACAUAACAAGACUGAGGCUGGUUCACCUAGAAGCAGUGGAGAUCAUGUUGAAACUGCGUGAAGUCAAGUGGAGGAUCUCCAUCACUGUCUGUGAGAACACUUCGGGCUAGCAACACAGGGAGUAUUGCUACUGAGAGCUGUAAUGAGGUAACCAGCUGACUUUGAUGUCUUUUUGUCAGUUGGGGGGGGGUGGAGUUGCGAACAUUUUUAUCAAGACCAAACUCAUUGACUGGGGAAGGAUUGAACACAGGACAGUCUAGUUUCCAUUGGUGUAGGAAGUCUAAUGGUAGAAUAUCCCUUUGACAUUUCAGCCCAGCUGAACACUGUGUUGAAAACAGAAACAUUGGCUGGAUUUGUCAGUAGUCUCGAAGAAAUGAACUUUGUGGGUUGGAAGAGAGGAAUAUGCAUUUAGGGAAGGGGGGGGGAGGGGACAGUUUGGGGCCACAUAUAUAUUGGAAAUAGAUGUUACAGAAUCUUUGGGGUCCCCCUACAUGUCAGAUUUUUAUCUUUGUAGCUCUUCAGGAAGUUAUAAAAAGUAUGUAUGUGGCACAAUAUUGGGUGAAAAUGAUGAAUCUUAAAUCUUGUUUUGUUUUGGGUUCCCCCCCCCCUCCAAAAUUACACUUCUUGACAUAAAGGUACACUUCUCUGAGCAAUUAUUCUUGGUAGGAGUUUUCAGAUCGUUCAGUGAUGACAGUUAUAGGAACUUUUACAAGCUGUGUCUUGCCAAAAAACGUUUCUUUCAAAAUGUGAGUUCCGGCUAUGAAGCAAUUCAAAGGCAUAGGGGGCUAAAAUUUGACAGUUUCAUUCAUUCCAACAGGGUGCACAAGCUUAUCAAAUUUUGCUGUAACAUGAAAGUUGCACUUUAGUAUGCCCAGUUAUCAUGGAAUGAAGAACUUAUAAGGUAGACAUUUGAGACGACAAUGGUUGCAGUGUUUAUAGUGGAUGAGUCCUCCAUUGUAAUUUGUGGCCAGAUAAUAACAGUCACAUCUGAUGGGGAUGCAGUUUGCAUAAUGACAAAAUGUUGAACACCCACUGAAUUGCUGUACGAGUGCUUGCUGUUUCCUGUCUUGUAGCUUCCUUCACUCCCACCGGUUGCAAGAGGCAGUGAUGCAGAAAUAAUAUGUGCACAGACUGGUGAGGAAAACGUAAAACACUUGGGAUCUGUUGUUCCCAUAUGCAGACUGCUACAGUAUAUGUCAAAGAAUGUAAUAAGUAAAGAUAUA